rnacentral:rRNA from 1 species
UACGUAGGGUGCGAGCGUUAAUCGGAAUUACUGGGCGUAAAGCGUGCGCAGGCGGUUUGUUAAGACAGAUGUGAAAUCCCCGGGCUUAACCUGGGAACUGCAUUUGUGACUGGCAAGCUAGAGUAUGGCAGAGGGGGGUAGAAUUCCACGUGUAGCAGUGAAAUGCGUAGAGAUGUGGAGGAAUACCGAUGGCGAAGGCAGCCCCCUGGGCCAAUACUGACGCUCAUGCACGAAAGGCGUGGGGAGCAAACAGG